CGUGAGGCUCGCAGCUCUGUGCAGAAGGCAUCGGGAGAGAGACAGGCGUCCUGCCGGCUCCAGGUCUGGUCUCAAAGAAAACACAAGAGAUAAGACACGGCAACACAAUGUCCCCUCAGUAGGUCUCAUUGACCGGCCCAUGGCACCGGGCAGAUCAGAACCAAUGAGUCAUUUUCACCGCCAUGCCCCUUCAUCACACGCCGAUCUCCUGUUCAACCCUUUCCACGUUCACCUGCAGUCGGCCGCAGUCACGUCUGACCUGGACGCAUGUGCAAGAUAACAUUCACAUCGGCAACGUCAAGAGAGGGGGCAAAAGGAAGCCUGACAUUAAUGAUUAACAGCCCUAAAAGCCCCUGCUUUUGUAUUCCCAUGGUGCCGAGGCUAUCUGCCGAUCAUGUGACCUGCGCCGAGGAGAUUGGGGGGAGUGAGCGCAAAAGCAAACACAGGUGUUUGGGCUGGAGUCGGUCGGUGCUGUUAGGGACAACUGCAAACACGGGCUGCCAUGCCCGCCCACAGCCCACCAGAGUCACAGACUAAAGAAUGACAACUAGGCCCAUUUUGUACCCAGAAGGCCUCUUGACCGGUUUAGGGAAGUCAACUUUUUGGUGCACUUUGACCUUGUUUUAGUUGCUCACUUUGGUUUCAAUUGCUGCAUUAAGAAAUAAAGUUGAAUCUCACGGCACAGCGUCAAAUAUUCAAAUCUACCUUCUUGUUCUUUUUUAAGUGAAAAAAAGUAUUUAAUAUGACUCGACAAUACAAUCUAUGUACUACUGUAUGUAUAAUUAGUUUGUUGAAUUUGUUGAAUCUGUGUUUAGGGUUUGGGGCGGGGCUUCAUUAUCGCUUUGUGAUAACGAUCAUACUUUUUCAUACGAAUUCACAGGAGUUUGUAACCUUGUCAAAUAAUUGCACAUUCCCGCGAGGUCAGGCUGAACUCCAUCAACUUGACUAUAUUGGGCUGCAUUAAUGAAAGAAUAUUUCAAUCAAAUCUGAAAAUGUCCUUUUGAUGCACAUGUAUGUAGGGCUGUGCAAAUAAUCGAAAAUGAAUCGUAAUCGUCAAUUUUGGCCUUCAACAAUUACAAAAACAAAAUAAUCGAGGUAAAACGAUUAUUGUGCCGCAUUACAUUUAGCAUGUAUGUUUUAUAGUUUACAGCCUACACUACACAAUAAAAG